rnacentral:rRNA from 1 species
GAUGAACGCUGGCGGCGUGCUUAACACAUGCAAGUCGAACGGUGAAGCAGGAGCUUGCUCUUGUGGCUCAGUGGCGAACGGGUGAGUAACACGUGAGCAACCUGCCCCUGACUCUGGGAUAAGCGCUGGAAACGGCGUCUAAUACUGGAUAUGUGAUGUGACCGCAUGGUCUGCAUCUGGGAAGAAUUUCGGUUGGGGAUGGGCUCGCGGCCUAUCAGCUUGUUGGUGAGGUAAUGGCUCACCAAGGCGUCGACGGGUAGCCGGCCUGAGAGGGUGACAGGCCACACUGGGACGGAGACAAGGCGCAGACUACUACGGGAGGCAGCAGUGGGGAAUAUGGGACAAUGGGCGGAAGCGUGAUGCAGCAACGCCGCGUGAGGGAUGACGGGCUGCGGGUUGUAAGCCGCUUUUCGCAGGGAAGGAGCGAGAGUGACGGUACCUGCAGAAAAAGCACCGGCUAACUACGUGCCAGCCGCCGCAGUAA